rnacentral:rRNA from 1 species
AUUGAACGCUGGCGGCAGGCCUAACACAUGCAAGUCGAGCGGAUGAAGGGAGCUUGCUCCUGGAUUCAGCGGCGGACGGGUGAGUAAUGCCUAGGAAUCUGCCUGGUAGUGGGGGAUAACGUCCGGAAACGGGCGCUAAUACCGCAUACUUCCGGAGGGAGAAAGGGGGGGAUCUUCGGACCUCCCCCUAUCAGAUUAGCUAAGGUCGGAUUAGCUAGUUGGUGGGGUAAAGGCCUACCAAGGCGACGAUCCGUAACUGGUCUGAGAGGAUGAUCAGUCACACUGGAACUGAGACACGGUCCAGACUCCUACGGGAGGCAGCAGUGGGGAAUAUUGGACAAUGGGCGAAAGCCUGAUCCAGCCAUGCCGCGUGUGUGAAGAAGGUCUUCGGAUUGUAAAGCACUUUAAGUUGGGAGGAAGGGCAGUAAGUUAAUACCUUGCUGUUUUGACGUUACCAACAGAAUAAGCACCGGCUAACUUCGUG